UAAAAGUCACGAGCUAGAAUAUGCUUGGUGCUAUCUCUUAUUUCUUAUUUAUUUUAUUAUUUUAGGUUUUGAUUACUGUGAAGUGAAUCUGUGGAAUAAAUCAGAGAUUGAUUUAUAAGAUAUUGAGUAUGUAAUUAAAGUACUAUGUGAUUGAAUUAUUAUGAAAAGAUAUUCAGGGUUUUUUAUCAGAUUUUGUGGAAGAUUGUUCAUGGAUGAAAGAUUAUAAUUUUUAUUUAUUGAAAGUUGAAUGUAUUU
rnacentral:lncRNA from 1 species